rnacentral:rRNA from 4 species
GACAGCCAGGAUGUUGGCUUAGAAGCAGCCAUCAUUUAAAGAAAGCGUAAUAGCUCACUGGUCGAGUCGGCCUGCGCGGAAGAUGUAACGGGGCUAAACCAUGCACCGAAGCUGCGGCAGCGACACUGUGUGUUGUUGGGUAGGGGAGCGUUCUGUAAGCCUGUGAAGGUGGCCUGUGAGGGUUGCUGGAGGUAUCAGAAGUGCGAAUGCUGACAUAAGUAACGAUAAAGCGGGUGAAAAGCCCGCUCGCCGGAAG